GUUUUCAAGAAUUUUCUGCACAUUCUCAAGCACUUUUCUGGCAUCCAUAUCGAGACCAAUGGCAGCCACUUGGCCAGUCAUUAGUAUUUCCCCUUCAAAAGAAAAAUGAAAGGAUAUGUGGGAUCUAACGAUCCCUGAUUCUAUAAUAAUACGUUAUCAAAUUCACUUUGAGUUUAAACCGAAAUGGUUAAGGGAGAGAUCUGAAAACUCAUAAGACUGCCAACUUGCUCACUUACUAGACACGAGUAACUGGGUCCCACAUUUAUUGUUAAGAUAGGUCCCACGACUCUCACCAACUUGUAUCUAAGCAGGUGAGAAAAGCCUAC
rnacentral:lncRNA from 1 species